rnacentral:lncRNA from 1 species
CCUGCUGUCCACAGAGCCUGUAUUUAAGAAAGACCAUUCAAGAUAAGACUGAGCUGUGGAAUUAUAAAACCUUUGGAAAAUCUUUCAUGUGAGAACAACAUGGGGGCAAGCCUCUGACCAAAAUAGCUCAAAAAUUUGUGUUACGCAGUUACAGUAAAUACCCAAGAGCUUGACGCAUAAAACACAACAGCCUCCUGGAGACAGAGGGAGGAGAAAGAAAGAUAAAGUCUGUGGCUUUAGAAGAAAAGGAAUAACUUAAGAGGCUUGUUUGCUGUUCAGGCUGGCCACCAAGGAUGACAUUUUGGUAGGUUUGGCAUGUUCCUGAGACUGUUCUUAACUUUGUUGGUCCCCUAAAAUGUACGUAAUUGAUGCAACAUGUCUGAGGAAGUGGAUGAGGUGUGAGAAAUCAUGGUAUUCCUAUUCACAAGGGACUACUUUACAACCAGACACAAUUAUUUUACAGAGAACUCUGGUUUGCAAGAGGACCUGAAUAUUAAUAUUAGUUGGUCAAUGCAUUCUCUCCCUGGAUGAGAAUUUUUUGUGGGAAGCAGCAUAAUAUAAAAUGCCAUUCAAGAUUCUGCAUGUAGCAUCAAAGAGUCAGCGAAUUCUGGCUCUGCCAACUACUUGGCUGCAGCAGAGCCAUCAGAAAACAACUCCUGAUUUUAGUUGAUCAGAUUCAAGUCAAUGAAAAAAUGACGUUUCUGUGUGUCUACUUCGGGCUAAGCACCAGGGUAGGCACAAGAGAGAUCACAGGGAUGAAUUAGUCCUAGCCCCUUGGAGAUUAUCCUCUCACCCUCUCCCCGCCAUAGUUAUCUUGGUCCUUUUCACAUAUAUCUUAGCAGGUUCUGUUUCAGGCAAAGUUUCACUUCUGUAUAUGUUUGUUACUACUGUUCAUUUGAGAUCUGCCACUAACCCUCAUUAUGACCUGGGACAUGUCUGUGGCCCCUCCACAUGCUGGCAGGAUAAAAAUUGACCAAAUAUAUGAUGCUGUCACAUAGAUGGAUCCUAUUAUUUGGUGAUUACAUUGAAAUCUUUACUGUAAAAAUUGUGUUGUCAAAAAUGAAAACAGAUGAUACUGAGUAACUCACUAGUGCCCUAAAGUACUCUACAGCUUUUCAAACAAAAUUGAAUAUUCUUUUCAACAUUCUCUCUGUAAAAAAAAAAAACAAUUCUAUAUUAGUGACCCUAUAUCCAAU